UAUAUUUUUAGUAUAAUAAGUAUUAUAAAUUUAGGAUUUAUAGGUAAAAAGUAUAA
rnacentral:tRNA from 1 species